UACUCAAGAGCAUAUAAUGGAUGCCUAGACGUAUAUUACCGACGAAGGACGUGGAAGACUGCGAAAAGUCUCGGGGAGCUGUCAACAAGCUUUGAUCCGGGAAUAUCCGAAUGGGGAAACCCAGCACGAGUCAUGUCGUGUUACUUCUACCUGAAUAUAUAGGGUAGAUAGAGGGAACCGCCUGAACUGAAACAUCUUAGUAGGGCGAGGAAGAGAAAAUAAAUAAUGAUUCCGGGAGUAGUGGCGAGCGAAACUGGAAGAGCCCAAACCUUUUAAGUUUUGCGUGGUUAGCAGAAUAGUUUGAAUGACUAUCCAAAGAACGUGAAAGACGUGUACGCGAAAACAACGCUGACCUUAUACGUGUUUUAUCGAGUAGGGCGGGGCACGAGAAACCCUGUCUGAAUCCGGCUGGACCACCAGCCAAGGCUAAAUAUAAUAUACGAUCGAUAGUGAACUAGUACCGCGAGGGAAAGGUGAAAAGAACCCCGGGAGGGGAGUGAAAUAGAUCCUGAAAUUAUAUGCUUACAAGGAGUCGGAGCGGAUUUAUUCCGUGACGGCGUGCUUUUUGUAGAACGAUCCAGCGAGUUAAUUUCUAGUGCAAGGUUAAGUCAAGUGACGGAGCCACAGUGAAAGCGAGCCUGAAUAGGGCGAAUAAGUACUAGGGAUUAGACCCGAAACCGGGUGACCUAACCAUGAGCAGGUUGAAGCGACAGUAACAUGUCGUGAAGGACCGAACCGUCGUACGCAGCAAAGUGCUCGGAUGACUUGUGGUUAGCGGUGAAAUGCCAAUCGAACUCGGAGAUAGCUGGUUCUCCUCGAAAUAGCUUUAGGGCUAGCGUCAAUUAAUUAGCCAACGGGGGUAGAGCUCUGUAAAGGACUGGGGGGAGCAAUCCUACCCACCCUUAACAAACUACGAAUACCGUUGGUGGUACAUUGGCAGUUAGAACGUCGGGGCUAAGCUCGGCGCUCGAAAGGGAAACAGCCCAGACCAUCGUCUAAGGUCCCAAAAUGUAUACUCAGUGGGAAACAAGGUGAGAUUUCUUAAACAGCUAGGAUGUUGGCUUAGAAGCAGCCAUUCAUUUAAAGAGUGCGUAACAGCUCACUAGUCAAGAGAUCUUGCGUGGAAAAUGUAACGGGGCUAAAGUAUACUACCGAAGACAUGGAUGUGACGUAAAUUUAUUUGCGCACGUGGUAGAGGAGCGUUCCUAUCUGCAGUGAAGUUCAACUGGAAAGUUGGGUGGAGCGUUAGGAAGUGAGAAUGCUGGAAUGAGUAACCAUAAGACAUGUGAGAAUCAUGUCGGCCGUAAGAGCAAGGUUUCCUGAGCCAUGGUAAUCAUCUCAGGGUUAGUCGGGCCUAAGCCGAGGCGCAUAGCGUAGGCGAUGGACAUCAGGUUAAUAUUCCUGAACCGGUUAUAAAUUGUACACUGUUCACGGCGGAGUAAUCGAAGCGAAUUCAUGGUAUGUAUUCGUCCAACCUAGGGGGAACCCGAAGGGAGUGAGAGUUAGUCUUCGGACUGACGAUUUCGGUGAGGACGCUGGCUAGAAAAGCAGGUGUACGUGUGUUUAUAGCCGCCCGUACCGCAAACCAACACAGGUGCUCGAGUCGAGUAGACUCAGGCUUACGAGAGAACCUUCGCUAAGGAACUCGGCAAUACAGCGACCGUAACUUCGGGAUAAGGUCUGCCCCCACAUCUUUGGAUGUGAGCCUCGCAUUUUAAGAUGUGGGGGCCGCAGCAAAAGAGCCCACGGAACUGUUUACCAAAAACACAGGUCUCUGCUAAUUCGAAAGAAGAUGUAUAGGGGCUGACUCCUGCCCGGUGCCGGAAGGUUAAGGGGAGUGCUUCACGGUGCGAACUGAAGCCCCGGUGAACGGCGGCGGUAACUAUAACCGUCCUAAGGUAGCGAAAUUCCUUGUCAGGUAAGUUCUGACCCGCACGAAUGGAGUAAUCAUGUGGGCACUGUCUCAGCGAAGGCCUCGGUGAAAGUGCAUUGGCGGUAAAGAUGCCGUCUGUCCGUACCAGGACGAGAAGACCCCAUGGAGCUUUACUACAGCUUUACAUUGAUCCGGGUUACAACAUGUGUAGAAUAGGUGGGAGCCUUUGAAGCAGAUACGCUAGUAUUUGUGGAGGCGCCAAGUGAAAUACCACCCUUGUUGUGAUCUUGAUCUCACCGUUACCAUUAUCUGGUAAUGGGACCGUGUAUGGUGGGUAGUUUAACUGGGGCGGUUGCCUCCUAAAGAGUAGCGGAGGCGUUCAAAGGUUGGCUAGCUUCGGAUGGAAAUCGAAGUGAUAGUGUAUGCGCAAAAGCCAGCUUGACUGUGAGGAGUACAUUCCAAGCAGAGACGAAAGUCGGAGCAAGUGACCCGCUAUACGUACUUUAUGUACAUGAAUGUGGGAUCGAUAGCGCAAACGGAUAAAAGUUACCCUGGGGAUAACAGGCUUAUAGCGCCCAAUAGUUCACAUAGACGGCGCUGUUUGGCACCUCGAUGUCGGCUCAUCACAUCCUGGAGGGGGAGCACCUUCCAAGGGUUCGGCUGUUCGCCGAUUAAAGUGGUACGCGAGCUGGGUUCAGAACGUCGUGAGACAGUUCGGUUUAUAUCCGGUACGGACGUUAGGAAAUUUGAGAAGAUCUACCCCUAGUACGAGAGGACCGGGGCGGACGAACCUCUGGUGUAUCGAUUGUGGCCACCUGCUGCAUUGUCGAGUAGCUACGUUCGGAAUAGAUAAGUGCUGAAAGCAUAUUAAGCACGAAACUAACUUCAAGAUUAGAUUUCCCUAUGAGGACACAGAAAGACUAUCUGUUUGAUAGGCGCAAGGUGGAAGUACAGCAAUGUAUGGAGCUAAAGCGUACUAAUAGUCCCAUCGCCU
rnacentral:rRNA from 1 species